CCCUGGUGGCUUACACGGUAAAGCGUUUGCCUACAAUGCAGGAGACCCGGGUUUGAUCCCUGGAUCAGGAA
rnacentral:tRNA from 1 species